GAUCCUGGCUCAGGAUGAACGCUAGCUACAGGCUUAACACAUGCAAGUCGAGGGGCAGCAUGGUCUUAGCUUGCUAAGGCCGAUGGCGACCGGCGCACGGGUGAGUAACACGUAUCCAACCUGCCGUCUACUCUUGGACAGCCUUCUGAAAGGAAGAUUAAUACAAGAUGGCAUCAUGAGUCCGCAUGUUCACAUGAUUAAAGGUAAUUCCGGUAGACGGUGGGGAGUGCG
rnacentral:rRNA from 1 species